CAGCCGCCGCGGUAAUACGUAGGUGGCAAGCGUUGUCCGGAAUUAUUGGGCGUAAAGGGCUCGCAGGCGGUUUCUUAAGUCUGAUGUGAAAGCCCCCGGCUCAACCGGGGAGGGUCAUUGGAAACUGGGAAACUUGAGUGCAGAAGAGGAGAGUGGAAUUCCACGUGUAGCGGUGAAAUGCGUAGAGAUGUGGAGGAACACCAGUGACGAAGGCGACUCUCUGGUCUGUAACUGACGCUGAGGAGCGAAAGCGUGGGGAGCGAACAGGAUUAGAUACCCCAGUAGUCCCUGUCUCUUAUAC
rnacentral:rRNA from 1 species